rnacentral:rRNA from 1 species
CCUACGGGAGGCAGCAGUGGGGAAUAUUGCACAAUGGGCGCAAGCCUGAUGCAGCCAUGCCGCGUGUGUGAAGAAGGCCUUCGGGUUGUAAAGCACUUUCAGCGGGGAGGAAGGCGUUAAGGUUAAUAACCCUGUCGAUUGACGUUACCCGCAGAAGAAGCACCGGCUAACUCCGUGCCAGCAGCCGCGGUAAUACGGAGGGUGCAAGCGUUAAUCGGAAUUACUGGGCGUAAGGCGCACGCAGGCGGUCUGUCAAGUCGGAUGUGAAAUCCCCGGGCUCAACCUGGGAACUGCAUUCGAAACUGGCAGGCUAGAGUCUUGUAGAGGGGGGUAGAAUUCCAGGUGUAGCGGUGAAAUGCGUAGAGAUCUGGAGGAAUACCGGUGGCGAAGGCGGCCCCCUGGACAAAGACUGACGCUCAGGUGCGAAAGCGUGGGGAGCAAACAGGAUUAGAUACCCUAGUAGUC